GACGAACGCUGGCGGCGCGCCUAACACAUGCAAGUCGAACGGAGUCAAGAGGAGCUUGCUUUUCUUGACUUAGUGGCGAACGGGUGAGUAACGCGUGAGUAACCUGCCCUGGAGUGGGGGACAACAGUUGGAAACGACUGCUAAUACCGCAUAAGCCCACGGAUCCGCAUGGAUCUGCGGGAAAAGGAUUUAUUCGCUUCAGGAUGGACUCGCGUCCAAUUAGCUAGUUGGUGAGGUAACGGCCCACCAAGGCGACGAUUGGUAGCCGGACUGAGAGGUUGAACGGCCACAUUGGGACUGAGACACGGCCCAGACUCCUACGGGAGGCAGCAGUGGGGGAUAUUGCACAAUGGGGGAAACCCUGAUGCAGCGACGCCGCGUGGAGGAAGAAGGUUUUCGGAUUGUAAACUCCUGUCGUGAGGGACGAUAAUGACGGUACCUAACAAGGAAGCACCGGCUAACUACGUG
rnacentral:rRNA from 1 species